rnacentral:sRNA from 1 species
CCAACCUAUUUUGAAUAUUUAAUCACAUCUAUGGGAGAUCAAUCGCCGAGUAUACUGCAAUAUGAUAAUGUUGUGCAAACAGAGCGCGCCAUCUAUCGACCGUGUAUUGUACGAUGUGGGUUUUAUUGUUUUAGGGUAUGUAUAUACAUAAUUAGACUUCAUACUCUACCAUUCUGUUCCAACUUCUACCAGUCGGAAAACUCAUAAACCGUGUUCUAUCUUGAGGUCGUCAGCUACUUGAAUAAUUUUGCUCAUAUCUAUACCCAAUAUUCAUUUGAAUUUUAUAAUAACAAGUAAGGUCAACACUAGAACACAGCUUCUCCAAUUUAUCAGUCAGACUUGCAAACUGCAAGGUGUAAGACGAAUUGGGGGCGGUUCUCUCUAACUGCAAUACAGUUGUCUUGGGGGAGAAGGGUCUUUUAUACUGAUCUCCAGCAAAGUGGCUUCUUCGGUUGUGAUCGCAUCAGGGGUUUCCAGCGCUGCCGCCAAUUCCACAGAAGAAAACAUUCAAGUGGACAUCAUGACAGAAAACUACGCAGAGUUUGGCAAAUCGACGGACCGGUCUCCCAUCGUGCCCGAAAUCUCCAUUCGUAGCUUCACUUUUCGUGUAACUGAAAUCGCUUUAGGACUGGUUGCGUUUUUGGCUGUUGUUGUGUGCAUAAUAUUAGGAUCAAUGGUCAGCUCUGGUGUAGGCAAUGGCUCAGAUUCACCGUCCACAAGCGCUCAAGUUGGUCAAAACCAGUUAUGUGUAUCCCCUCCAUGUCUUAAAAGCGCGUCCUAUGUAGUUUCCAAUCUCAAUACUUCUGUCAAGCCCUGUGAUAAUUUCUAUAAAUAUGCUUGUGGGCGUUUCAAGAUUGAAAAUCCUUUGGAUCCCGAAACUUCUUCGAGAACCGUAUACAGUAAUAUGUAUUACCAUAAUGAAGAGAAACUCAAGAAACUUCUUGAAUCCCCCAUCGUCCGUAGCCAGGACUAUUCCACGGAGCGGAAGUUGAAGCACUAUUUUUCGUCGUGCACUGAUACUUACCGGAAAGAGCGUGCUAAGGGAUCACCUUUGAUCACUAAGGUAAUUAACAACAUCGGAGGCUGGUAUGUACUCGGAACCUUCAACAACAACUCCUUUGAUUUCCACAAUGCCUUUCGGAAGGUCUCUGUCGAUUACUGGACGGCAGCUUUCUACACGUUCCGGGUGGCAACUGACUGGUAUGACUGGCAUAAGAGAGUCAUCGAGUUGGACUACGCUGGUAUGUCAAUGUAUUGGUAUUACUAUACGGAACCUUCAACUGAAAAGUAUAGAAAUGAUAUGAAGACAUUCAUGAGGCGUCUGGCGAAUUUCCUCGUCAGAGAUUCGAAUAUAACUUUGGACAACAAUACGAAAAACGCACGUAUAGAGACCUUUAUCAAUGACGCCUUCACCAUAGAAAUGAAUCUAGCCAAUAUCACAAAGAACACAAUGCCAACGUCGGACCCCCACGCUUACGAGAAGAGGGUGUCCAUAUCUGACCUCAAUACCAUGCUUGGUACAGAGGUGGGUGUCCUAUCAGUCUGGGAAAACUACACGGACAGUCAUGUGGGCUGGAACUGGAACGAGCUGCUGGUGCCCGCCGGACUCCUUCAGUUCCCGUUCUACGACUACACGCUCCCUCACUUCAUGAACUUUGGCUCUAUGGGAAGCCAUAUAGCUCACCAUCUUGUUUAUGGCAUCGAUCACUCAGGUGGAUACUACAAUGUGGAUGGCGUGUUUGAGGAUUGGUGGAGCAACAGGACGACCAACAAGUGGAUAGACGCCAAGAAGUGUGUGGAGAACUACUACAACAACCAGAGCAUGGGUCCAUUCACCAUCCCAGGACAGACCAUUCCUGUCAAGGUACCAGUCAAUGGAUUAAGAUGGUCAGCAGAAGCAAUGGCUGAAACUAGUGGAGUCCAGAUAGCUUACAAGGCUUACAAGAAAUGGGUUCAGAAGAACGGUGGAGAGAAACUGGCUCCUGGAUUAGGUCUGACCAACGACCAGAUGUUCUUUGUCUCAUAUGCGCAGGCUAGCUACUACAAUAGAAAUGACAAUGUCGCCUACUACAAUGCCGUCCGAGGAACAGUGUCGGAAGACAUUAGAACAAACAGUGCCUUGGCACGGAUUAAGGAAUUCUCAACAGAAUUUAACUGUCCAGCACAGACGCCCAUGAAUGCGGAAGUUAAGUGUGCCAUGUAUGGAUAG